UUGACCUCGAAUCAGGUAGGAAUACCCGCUGAACUUAAGCAUAUCAAUAAGCGGAGGAAAAGAAACCAACCGGGAUUACCUCAGUAACGGCGAGUGAAGCGGUAACAGCUCAAAUUUGAAAUCUGGCUCCUCUGGAGUCCGAGUUGUAAUUUGUAGAAGAUGCUUUGGGUUGUGGACUCGGCCUAAGUUCCUUGGAACAGGACGUCAUAGAGGGUGAGAAUCCCGUAUGUGGCCGAGGCCCGCGCCUAUGUAAAGCUCUUUCGACGAGUCGAGUUGUUUGGGAAUGCAGCUCAAAAUGGGUGGUAAAUUUCAUCUAAAGCUAAAUAUGGGCCAGAGACCGAUAGCGCACAAGUAGAGUGAUCGAAAGAUGAAAAGCACUUUGGAAAGAGAGUUAAACAGUACGUGAAAUUGUUGAAAGGGAAGCGCUUGCAACCAGACUUGGGCGCUGCCGAUCACCCCGAGUUCUCUCAGGUGCACUCGACAGCGCACAGGCCAGCAUCGGUUCGGGUGGCUGGAUAAAGGCCGUAGGAACGUAGCUCCCCUCGGGGAGUGUUAUAGCCUACGGUGCCAUGCAGCCCAGCCGGACCGAGGACCGCGCCUUCGGGCUAGGAUGCUGGCGUAAUGGUUGUAAGCGACCCGUCUUGAAACACGGACCAAGGAGUCUAACAUCUAUGCGAGUGUUUGGGCGUUAAACCCAUACGCGGAAUGAAAGUGAACGUAG
rnacentral:rRNA from 1 species